rnacentral:rRNA from 1 species
AGAGUUUGAUCCUGGCUCAGGAUGAACGCUAGCUACAGGCUUAACACAUGCAAGUCGAGGGGCAGCAUAAACUUAGCUUGCUGGGUUUGAUGGCGACCGGCGCACGGGUGAGUAACGCGUAUCCAACCUGCCCUUUACUCCGGGAUAGUCUCCUGAAAGGGAGUUUAAUACCGGAUGUGUUUGUCUUUCCGCAUGGGAGCGACAAAUAAAGAUUAAUUGGUAAAGGAUGGGGAUGCGUCCCAUUAGCUGGUUGGCGGGGUAACGGCCCACCAAGGCGACGAUGGGUAGGGGUUCUGAGAGGAAGGUCCCCCACAUUGGAACUGAGACACGGUCCAAACUCCUACGGGAGGCAGCAGUGAGGAAUAUUGGUCAAUGGGCGAGAGCCUGAACCAGCCAAGUAGCGUGAAGGACGACGGCCCUACGGGUUGUAAACUUCUUUUAUAAGGGAAUAAAGUUCGCCACGUGUGGUGUUUUGUAUGUACCUUAUGAAUAAGCAUCGGCUAAUUCCGUGCCAGCAGCCGCGGUAAUACGGAAGAUGCGAGCGUUAUCCGGAUUUAUUGGGUUUAAAGGGAGCGUAGGCGGGCUUUUAAGUCAGCGGUUAAAUGUCGUGGCUCAACCAUGUCAAAUUGCCGUUGAAACUGUAAGCCUUGAGUCUGCACAGGGCACAUGGAAUUCGUGGUGUAGCGGUGAAAUGCUUAGAUAUCACGAAGAACUCCGAUCGCGAAGGCAUUGUGCCGGGGCAUAACUGACGCUGAGGCUCGAAAGUGCGGGUAUCAAACAGGAUUAGAUACCCUGGUAGUCCGCACGGUAAACGAUGAAUGCUCGCUAUGGGCGAUAUAUUGUCCGUGGCCAAGCGAAAGCGUUAAGCAUUCCACCUGGGGAGUACGCCGGCAACGGUGAAACUCAAAGGA